rnacentral:rRNA from 1 species
AUUGAACGCUGGCGGCAUGCCUUACACAUGCAAGUCGAACGGCAGCACGGGAGCAAUCCUGGUGGCGAGUGGCGAACGGGUGAGUAAUAUAUCGGAACGUGCCCAGUCGUGGGGAUAACGUAGCGAAAGCUACGCUAAUACCGCAUACGAUCUAUGGAUGAAAGCGGGGGAUCGCAAGACCUCGCGCGAUUGGAGCGGCCGAUAUCAGAUUAGGUAGUUGGUGAGGUAAAGGCUCACCAAGCCGACGAUCUGUAGCUGGUCUGAGAGGACGACCAGCCACACUGGGACUGAGACACGGCCCAGACUCCUACGGGAGGCAGCAGUGGGGAAUUUUUGGACAAUGGGCGCAAGCCUGAUCCAGCAAUGCCGCGUGCAGGAUGAAGGCCUCGGUUGUAACUAGCUUUGUUACGGAACGAACGGUAGAGCGU